rnacentral:lncRNA from 1 species
AUUUAAUCGCACCUGCUAAGAUUACCUAUGAUCCUGAUACCAUAUUAAAUUUCACGUACUGAAUUCAACUCAAAAAUUUAAGUUGACGAGGAAAAGUGUACAGUUCACUGACAGUUCAACAUCAAGUCAUUAACUUAGCCAGGUUUCUCGUCUUUAUUUAGUUACCACCUACCACCGUCAGGGCCGGGGUCAGCCUCCUCUUUAUGGUCAUAUUUUCAUUUUUUGUCACUUGGGACUAACUUUCAUGCAUAACACUAUAGGCAAUUGGCAGGCCUCAAGAGGCCGUUCUCCUGCGCCGAUAUAAACACACGUUGUCUCUCACCC